rnacentral:rRNA from 3 species
AAGGUUGGCUAAUCCUGGUCGGACAUCAGGAGGUUAGUGCAAUGGCAUAAGCCAGCUUGACUGCGAGCGUGACGGCGCGAGCAGGUGCGAAAGCAGGUCAUAGUGAUCCGGUGGUUCUGAAUGGAAGGGCCAUCGCUCAACGGAUAAAAGGUACUCCGGGGAUAACAGGCUGAUACCGCCCAAGAGUUCAUAUCGACGGCGGUGUUUGGCACCUCGAUGUCGGCUCAUCACAUCCUGGGGCUGAAGUAGGUCCCAAGGGUAUGGCUGUUCGCCAUUUAAAGUGGUACGCGAGCUGGGUUUAGAACGUCGUGAGACAGUUCGGUCCCUAUCUGCCGUGGGCGCUGGAGAACUGAGGGGGGCUGCUCCUAGUACGAGAGGACCGGAGUGGACGCAUCACUGGUGUUCGGGUUGUCAUGCCAAUGGCACUGCCCGGUAGCUAAAUGCGGAAGAGAUAAGUGCUGAAAGCAUCUAAGCACGAAACUUGCCCCGAGAUGAGUUCUCCCUGAGACUUUAGGUCUCCUGAAGGAACGUUGAAGACGACGACGUUGAUAGGCCGGGUGUGUAAGCGCAGCGAUGCGUUGAGCUAACCGGUACUAAUGAACCGUGAGGCUUAACCUUACAACGCCGAAG